GCACUGCUGAGGAGUCCCACAAUAGGACGAAACGGCCGUCCAGCGC
rfam:Schistosoma curassoni strain Dakar, Senegal genome assembly, scaffold: SCTD_contig0002900